GGGAAAGUGGCUCAGUGGUAGAGUGCUUGCCUUGCAUGCAUGAAGCCCUGGGUUCGAUUCCUUAGCACCA
rnacentral:tRNA from 1 species